CCUAUACCCGGCCGUCGGGG
rnacentral:snRNA from 1 species